UUGAAAGGGAAACGAUUGAAGUCAGUCGUACCAGCGGGAAAUCAACCUUUCGAGUGGGGGUUUUGGAGUUUUGAAGAGUGUCAAAACCUUUGAGAUUUCAAAAUUUUCGCUCUUUUGGUGUACUUUCUCGUGGGUAGGUUAACAUCGAUUUCGAUCAUCAUAAAAGGAUUGGAGGAAUGUAGCUUCGAUCUUGUAUUGAAGUGUUAUAGCCUUUGGUAAAUGUGAUGAUUGGGAUCGAGGAUUGCAACGAAUACCCUUUUGGGCUAUCCGCCUGAUCUCUGAUACGUGGCCUUGGUAUCGAAAGCGUGCUUAUGGUAUUGAGUAUUACGGUCAAAAGGUUAGANCGGAUUACAUUCGUUAAGGAUGUUGACGUA
rnacentral:rRNA from 1 species